AGCUCGGUAGCGCAACGGUAGCGCGUCUGCGUCCACUUGCUGCCUAUAUAUGUUUCCAGUCAUGGGUGAUGGGAAGAUCUCGGUUCGACUCCGAGUCGAGCUA